ensembl:lncRNA
AACUGAGUUAAUCCAAGAAUGUCCAAGAAUUCCAGAUGGUUGCCAUAAAAAGUCCCAAACAAGACACAAACCUUGUUAGCUGCAACCUACACACAGGAGCUGACACCCCAAGCUGAGGGAUGCUGUGGAGACCAGAUAAGGAGGCAAACACUGCCUCCCGCUCUAUGCCCAGGCUCUGCAAAUGAGUCUGUGAGGCAACGGGGAGCUUACACUCCAAGAGAUAAGGUGAAACUGUUUCAGUAGACAGCUAGGAGACAGCCAGGGACUCAGCAACCUUAUCAGAGCCAAACCUGAGAGGCAAGGUUAUGUCUACGACAUGAGUUCACACCUGUUGGCCACUGUGGACCAGCAGCAGGUAGUCCUGUCUCUGUGGCCCAUGUGAACACAGUGUCGUUUGUCCAGCAUUUAGCUGCCCAGGAUGCACUGACCUGGAUCUGUGCUGGCUUUUAGGAAGCAGCGGGCUGGAUCGCUGCCACCGGGACCUCAGAAAGCAAAUGCCCUUCAAGACGUCAGGGUCUGCUGUAUGAGAGGAGCCACAGAGAACAGAGACACCACCCAGAUCCACAAGAAGAAGGAGAGACCCCUCUGGCUCAUCAAGAACCCUGGUUUACUGGGAGCUCCUUCCUGUUGACCUGUAGGAUCCUUGUAUGUGCUCUUGCAGGGGAACUUCUGGACACCGUCAUGGAGGACAGACUCCCAGUAUGCAGACAGACAGACUCCUCCGUGAGCCUUCUUGUUCCUGUAGAUAAUGGUGCUGUCCCAAAUGUGUCCAGUCCCCAAGAGCAAAAUGAUGUGAGUGGGAAGACGGCCUCCCAGCUCUACCUGCUCUCUGGGGCUGGCACUCCGCCCUUCUGUACAGAACCUUCCGUGCCUCUCCCGAUGCCCUUCCUGCCACCUCAGAAUCCACCAUCACCCCCAUCCCCGGUCUCUGUAGCCCAGAAGAAACCAUGUGACUUAAAGACUGCAUGUGUCACCCCAUGGAGAGAGUCACCUGACCAGCCUGGAGCACUACUGGAUCUCAGCUGUUUCUGAAGAAUCCUUUCUAUUCUCUCCUGAUGGACCAGAAAGAGCAAAUAAAGAAAGAGGGUCCCCUAAAGAUGCCGUCACCCCCCAGACAACAGGAAGCAGUCUAGAGAAUAUGAAAAAAAACUCACAAGAGGUGUAAAGUGCAAGGAUGACCCCAGCUAAGACUCCUAGCAAGAGUGGAGAGGGUAAGUGAACUGGCCUUUCCCUGUAAUCAGAUUGGUGACUACCCCAACUGUCACCAGAGACACUCUAUCCAGUAACUGAUGGAAGCAGAUGCAGAGAUCCUCAGCCAAGCACUGGGUAGAGCUCCAGGAGUCCUCUUGAAGAAAGGGAGGAGGGAUUUUAUGAGCCAGUAGGAGGGGCCAGUGUCAUAGUCAUGACAGAGGAACCUACAGAGACUGCUGACCUGAGCUCACGAGAACUCAUGGACUCUGAACCAACCGUUAGGGAACCUGCAUGGGACCGACCUUAGAUCUCUGCAUGUGUGUGACAGUUGUAUAGCUUGGUCUGUUUCUAUGGCUCCUAGCAGUGAGAUCAGGACCUGUCCCUGGCCCUUAGCUGGCUUUUCGGAACCUGUUCCACAUGAUAAUUACCUCACGCAGCCUUUAUGCAGGGGGAGGAACUUGAUUUCACUUGAUGUGGAAUGUUUCAGUCAAGCCCACGGGAGGCCUGCUCCUUUCUGGAUGGAGAUGAAGGAGAAGUGGAUGGGGAGAGCGGUAGAUGGGAGUGGAGGCAGAGGAAUGGGAGGAGAAGAGGGAGCAGAACUGUGGUAAAUAUGUAAAAUAAAUGAAAAAAUGUUAAUUAAAUGAAGUAAUUUUUUAAAAAGAAAAAAAGAGGUAUAAAGUGUUAUAAUGUUAAGAGACAUAAAAGCUCAAAUUGUUUAUUUAAGAAAUGUUUUGAGGUCUAAAAAGAUAGUUUUUGGGUUGGUAAUACAAGUUAGGACAGAAAUGGGCUGGGAAUAAAACUUUAAUUUCAUCAAGAUAGAUAAUAGAGUAUUUUCUCUGAAUAUGCCAAAUACAAAUGGACUGGCC